rnacentral:piRNA from 1 species
UGCCACUAUCAGUAAACUUCUUCUCAGUUA